UACGUAGGUGGCAAGCGUUGUCCGGAUUUAUUGGGUUUAAAGGGUGCGUAGGCGGCUUUGUAAGUCAGUGGUGAAAUACGGUAGCUCAACUAUCGAGGUGCCAUUGAUACUGCGGAGCUUGAGUACAGAUGAGGUAGGCGGAAUUGACGGUGUAGCGGUGAAAUGCUUAGAUAUCGUCAAGAACACCUAUAGCGAAGGCAGCUUACUAGGCUGUAACUGACGCUGAGGGACGAAAGCUAGGGGAGCGAAUGGG
rnacentral:rRNA from 1 species